rnacentral:lncRNA from 1 species
GGGUGGGACCCCUGUGCCCUAUUUCCAGGAAUGCUUGAGCCAGCAGAAGGGCUGACAUUGUUUCCAAUCACUUCUGGCCGCUAGGCCUGGUUUGUUUGUAGAGUCACAAACUCAGGAUGGAUGUGAAAGCAUCAAAAGCAUCAGAUCGGCCCCGUCGACACCACCCCACACCCGGGAACAUAUGAAGAAAGGCAUUAAAGAGGAAAGUCCCUGGAAAGGAGGAGGGGCCGGCCCAGGUGGCAGGGAGCGUGUGAGUGUAUCAGGCAUCAUCCGAGCGUGGACAAGAGAUGAAGGGAGCACAGCAAAGAGCCCCCGAGGCUGAGACCCUCAUCACCUGGGCUCCUGGGCUCCAUCUUCCCAACCUUGCUACCCGAGGCGUGGUCCCCAUGGACCAGCAGCAUCCGCAUCCCCUGGCUGCUCACUGGAGAUGCCGAAUCCCCGGCCCCACCUCCCAGAUGACAGCCAUCAGGGUCUGCCUUUGAACAAGCUCCGCUGGUGGUUCCUGAACUCAAUAAAGGUUGGCCACCAUGGGUUUCAACCCAUUGGAUCCCCUACUGACAAGCUGAGCGUUCCGAAACACGGGAUCUGCAUGGUUGUCCAUGAAGGGUGCAGCAUGCCACUCAUAACCCUGCACGUGUCCACCACUUCCCCCUCCCCGUUCCCUUGUCUCUGUCUCCCUUCUUCAUUCUGCAUCCCCAGCACUCCCUCUUCUGUCCUAAUACGCUCACCUCUGACCCCCUGACCCCUUGGCUGACCUUUGCUCCCCAUCACCUGAGACAGGGCGACACCUUCGGAUUGUGUCCGACAUGCUUUGGUCCCACUGAAGGGACCGGAACAAGCCACCCUGGCAUAGGCCUCUUCUGUCUAUGGAUUAUUUUCAGCUAACGGCCACUGAGAACCAGCAGAUGCAGGAAACGCUCCAAGGACGGGGCAGAAGGGUCCUUUCUGUACAGGAAAUUCACUUUUCCGGAGGAGAAAUGUCCAUCUGUCGAGACACCUGGAAAGAGCGGCCUCUUCACAACUCUUGUCCAUGGAGAACGCAGGGGCCGGAGUCGGCGUCACAAACCCUACUAAUUACGCUCGUCCACCAUACUUUCCUGG